UAGCGUAUAUUAAAGUUGUUGCGGUUAAAAAGCUCGUAGUUGGAUUUCUGUUGAGGAUGGCCGGUCCGCACUAUGUGCGUGUAUCUGGUUCAGCCUCGGCAUCCUCUCGAAAGCCGUUGCUGCGCUUGAUUGCGUGGCUCGGAAUUCGGGACUUUUACUUUGAGGAAAUUAGAGUGUUCACGGCAGGCAAGCGCCUUGAAUAUAUUAGCAUGGAAUAAUGUUAUAGGAUUUUGGUCCUAUUUUGUUGGUUUCUAGGGCUGAAAUAAUGAUUAAUAGGGACAAUUGGGGGCAUUCGUAUUAACGCGUC
rnacentral:rRNA from 1 species